UACGUAGGGUGCAAGCGUUUGUCCGGAAUUAUUGGGCGUAAAGAGCUUGUAGGCGGUUUGUCGCGUCUGCUGUGAAAUUUCGGGGCUCAACCCCGAACUUGCAGUGGGUACGGGCAGACUAGAGUGUGGUAGGGGAGACUGGAAUUCCUGGUGUAGCGGUGGAAUGCGCAGAUAUCAGGAGGAACACCGGUGGCGAAGGCGGGUCUCUGGGCAGUAACUGACGCUGAGGAGCGAAAGCGUGGGGAGCGAACAGG
rnacentral:rRNA from 1 species